AGUAGAUACCUCUUCCCUGUGUUUAGAUGCUCUCCAACUGCAGUUUAAGAAGACCAGAUAGACUGCAGUAUUGAAGAGCUGUCAUCCUCUUCGUAGUCGUUCUGGACCAUAAAAGGGUUUUUUUCCUCAUAAAAGGGUUUGCUGAUUCAAGCAGAUGGUUUUCUAAACUGACUCCCAUGUAACUUCUCCCUCACUCCAAGUAACAGGCAUUUCCUUGACCUCAGCUUGUGUUCCAGCCCCUUCCAUGCCUGAAGGAAAAUCCAAGGACUUUCAGGAUCCAAAUAAAAGAAGUUUGGGGGGAUCUUCCCAACCUAGGGAUUGAACCCAGGCAAAAAAAAGAAGUCACUGUUUCUCACAAACAUAUCCUUGAACUUCUCCUUCUCACCACUCAACUAAAGCUGAAGUCAACUCAAAGAAAGUAUCACCCACUGGAGUGUUUGGGGGCUUGGAAGAUGUUCAAUAUGUA
ensembl:lncRNA